AGGAGCCCUCGGUGGCAGUGCUUGGGUGUCGAGGCUCUGAGGCUCCGGCCUCACCUCUCCACGGGGUCGAAGGGAACGUCUCCGGAUGCCAGGAGUCGCAAAGGGCCGACCAUGAUGAUGAAACCCCAGGCAGAGACGGGGGAAGCAGCACGGGAUCCCAGCCUCAGGCCUGCACGGACGGUGUUGGUUGGGAGACGAGGUCUCACUAUAUUGACCAGGCUGGUCUUGAACUCCUGGCCUUAAGCGAUCCUCCUGCCUUGGCCUCCCAAAGUGCUGGAGUUACAGAUGUGAGCCUCUGUGCUCAGUCCAUCCUUGGCUGUUCAAGUGUAGAGGUGAUGUAAAAUUCUCAAACAAUGAGAUAGAUAAAAAGUACGCAGCCAAAAAGUUCAAGAAGAAGUGUUAUGGAGAUGGAGCAGGCCCUUCGUAAAAACACGAUGUUGGUUUUCUGGAUUUUGGAGGCCUCACAAAACCCGGAUCAGACUCGCCCACUGCCCUGUGUCUGCCCUCCCGACCGCCUCUCCUGCCCAGCAGGGAUGAGGGUGGCAGUGGUGCUGUGUGGAGGGUGGCGGGAGGACCUGGAAGACUGCGACCAGUGAGCCGGGAGGCCUUGGGACAGCCUCUCUCUGAAUCAUCCUGUGCACUGCCGGGUGUGACAGAGGCUCCUAGAAUCCUGUCUCAAGUGGCCGCCUUCACAGAGGGAGUCACUGACGUCCCUGCUCAGCGCAGCCCUGGCAUGUGGGGGUCCCUCUACUCAUGAGAAACCCCCACCCAAUCACCGUGAGGUGUGUGACCCAUGCUCACAUCCAGGGGCCACUCAUUCAUUCAGGAAACAUUGGCCGAGCCCUCAGCAGGGGGCGGUGCUGGAUGCCGGGAUGUAGAGAGUGGGGUGGGACAAGGACUUGGUUGUGAGACGUCCCAGUCCGGGGAAGGACUAAGAGAAGGUGACAUGGACAGUCUAGACUACCCGUCAUUGGUUCUCCACUGGGGGCAGUAUUGGCAAUGUUUAGGUAUAAAUUUGUUGUCACAAUGAAUGCUACCAACGUCUAGUGGGUGGAGGCCGGGGGUGCGGCUCAGCAUCCUACCAGGUGUCGGACGGCCCCCACCACCGAGUGCCAGCCCCGAGGGCAGCCCAGGGUGCCCCAGUGGUGAGGAGCCCCGGUGUGGAGUGCAGGGUUCGUUUGGACCACGGCUGUAGAGGCCUAGGGGAGCUCCCGCCAUCAGGAUGGCCGGGCAUCAGGGCUCUGUGAGGGGGAAGGGGGCAUCAGUGCAGCGGCAGGCAGGGGUUCGACGGGCUGAGUCCUGCGACGUGUUGCAUCCACACCAGUGUCUGGGGCCAGCACCACCGCUCAGUCUCUGAACCCACUUAUUUCGCCCAAUAUUGCUUGAGUGGGAAGUUCCACCUUCCCCAGUCGGCUGCUUAUCUCGUCUUUCCAAUGCAGUUAGGAAGGGAAAAUAUUUUCUCCCCAUUUUACAGAUGAAGAAAUGGGGCCUGGCGAGGAGCAAAGCCCAGAACUGCUGCCCACCACCCUCCCUGCCUGGUGCUUUCCUGGGAACAUGUGGGAGCCCCUGCCUGGACCUUGGGACCUCCCAUCUGUAAUUGCAGGCCCUGGUCUGCCUGUAUGGAUGUGGAAUGUGUCACUCGGGAUCCUGGAGUCCUCCUGAGCUUGUCCAGCAGGGCUGCAUUCACUGAUGUGCUGACAGAGGCCUAGGCUCGGACCUCUAGGAAUAUCCAAGGCAUCUCAUUAUGCAGAAAACCACCCUCAUGAGGUCCUGGAGGCCUCUCUCCAUCUUCCUGGGGGUGAUGCAAUAGAGUGUAACUUCCAUGCUGCCGAGACAGGCCAUGAGGGGUUGCCCCCGUUGGAGGGGCAGAGUGGUAUUUGUGGGGUGGUAGGAAUCAUUCAAUGCCCAGCUGCAACCCCCCGGGCUCACAGCACACUCUUAAGGCCAGUGCUACCAGCUCCCUUGGGUGGAUAGAGGAGCUACGGCUCAGAAGCAUGCCCACAGCUCCCCCAGGACCCUGAGGCCAGCCUGUGGCAGGGCCUGUGAUUUGAACCCCUCUACAAGGCUUCAAAUCAGUGCUGUUUGUCCUGGCCUCAUAAAACCUGGCUGCCCAGUUGGGAUUGGUGUCAUCUGCCUUGCUGAACUGGGCACUCCUUGGGAAGAGGGUGGGUGCUGCGAGAAGGCGGUGGAUCCUGGCUGUGCAACCUUCGCAGGUGGCUGAACCUCUCUGUGUCUCAGUUUGCUCAUCUGCAAAGGGGGCUGGGAUUCCUGCCUACAUGCAUGUGCUCAAGAGGGAAAGCCAGCCAGGCAUGGUGGCUCAUGCCUGUAAUCCCAGCACUUUGGG
ensembl:lncRNA FAM27C family with sequence similarity 27 member C